rnacentral:rRNA from 1 species
AGUGAACGCUGGCGGUAGGCCUAACACAUGCAAGUCGAACGGCAGCACAGGAGAGCUUGCUCUCUGGGUGGCGAGUGGCGGACGGGUGAGGAAUACAUCGGAAUCUACUCUGUCGUGGGGGAUAACGUAGGGAAACUUACGCUAAUACCGCAUACGACCUACGGGUGAAAGCAGGGGAUCUUCGGACCUUGCGCGAUUGAAUGAGCCGAUGUCGGAUUAGCUAGUUGGCGGGGUAAAGGCCCACCAAGGCGACGAUCCGUAGCUGGUCUGAGAAGAUGACCAGCCAACCUGGAACUGAGACACGGGCCAGACUCCUACGGGAGGCAGCAGUGGGGAAUAUUGGACAAUGGGCGCAAGCCUGAUCCAGCCAUACCGCGUGGGUGAAGAAGGCCUUCGGGUUGUAAAGCCCUUUUGUUGGGAAAGAAAUCCAGCUGGCUAAUACCCGGUUGGGAUGACGGUACCCAAAGAAUAAGCACCGGCUAACUUCGUGCCAGCAGCCGCCGUAA